GUGCCAGCAGCCGCGGUAAUACGGAAGGUCCGGGCGUUAUCCGGAUUUAUUGGGUUUAAAGGGAGCGCAGGCGGAGAGCUAAGCGUGACGUGAAAUGUAGCCGCCCAACGGCUGACGUGCGUCGCGAACUGGUUUUCUUGAGUGGGUACGACGUCGGCGGAACUCGUGGUGUAGCGGUGAAAUGCUUAGAUAUCACGAGGAACCCCGAUUGCGAAGGCAGCCGACGAGUCCCUUACUGACGCUAAAGCUCGAAGGUGCGGGUAUCGAACAGGAUUAGAUACCCUGGUAGUCCGCACGGUAAACGAUGGAUGCCCGCUGUUGGCGACACACUGUCAGCGGCCAAGCGAAAGCGUUAAGCAUCCCACCUGGGGAGUACGCCGGCAACGGUGAAACUCAAAGGAAUUGACGGGGGCCCGCACAAGCGGAGGAACAUGUGGUUUAAUUCGAUGAUACGCGAGGAACCUUACCCGGGCUUGAACUGCCGGCGAACGAUUCAGAGAUGAUGAGGCCCUUCGGGGCGCCGGUGGAGGUGCUGCAUGGUUGUCGUCAGCUCGUGCCGUGAGGUGUCGGCUUAAGUGCCAUAACGAGCGCAACCCCUCUCCGUAGUUGCCAUCGGGUUAAGCCGGGCACUCUGCGGACACUGCCACCGCAAGGUGUGAGGAAGGUGGGGAUGACGUCAAAUCAGCACGGCCCUUACGUCCGGGGCUACACACGUGUUACAAUGGGGAGUACAGAGAGCCGGUCUGCGGCAACGCCGAUCCAAUCCUUAAAGCUCUCCUCAGUUCGGAUUGGGGUCUGCAACCCGACCCCAUGAAGCUGGAUUCGCUAGUAAUCGCGCAUCAGCCAUGGCGCGGUGAAUACGUUCCCGGGCCUUGUACACACCGCCCGU
rnacentral:rRNA from 1 species